ACAUUGUGUGCCCUGGAUAUUCAUCCUAUAAAGACGUCCCAUCCUCUUGCCGUGUCUGAGAAACAGAUGGAAGCAGCUUCGUGUCCACAGGACAGUCCUCAACAGAUGACAUUGUGUGUAUAAAAACGUCCCAUCCUCUUGCCGUGUCUGAGAAACAGAUGGAAGCAGCUUCGUGUCCACAGGACAGUCCUCAACAGAUGACAUUGUGUGUCACGGAUACUCAUCCUGCAAAGAGCUCCCAUCUUGCUGUCAUGUCUGAGAAACAGAUGGAAGAAGCUUCAUGUCCACAGGACACACCAGGUAGAGAGCCACAGAAACCAAGACCCUGGCAGUCAGCAGAAAUCAGGGCAGUAGAGAGACAAAUGAUUAAGUUCAUUCGGUCUGCUACAGUACCAACAAAGGCAGAUUGUGAGAAAUGUUUAAGAGCUGAAGCUGAAAGUCUCUGUAACCGAAACUGUCAGAAUUUGAAAUUCUAUGUGUACAAUAGAAUCACAGCAUUAAAAAGG